UACGAAGGGGGCUAGCGUUGCUCGGAAUUACUGGGCGUAAAGCGCACGUAGGCGGCUUCUAAGUCGGGGGUGAAAUCCUGGAGCUCAACUCCAGAACUGCCUUCGAUACUGGAGAGCUCGAGUCCGGGAGAGGUGAGUGGAACUGCGAGUGUAGAGGUGAAAUUCGUAGAUAUUCGCAAGAACACCAGUGGCGAAGGCGGCUCACUGGCCCGGUACUGACGCUGAGACGCGAAAGCGUGGGGAGCGAACAGG
rnacentral:rRNA from 1 species